AACUCGCCUACAUGAAGCUGGAGUUGCUAGUAAUCGCGAUUCAGCAUGUCGCGGUGAAUACGUUCCCGGGCCUUGUACACACCGCCCGUCACACCAUGAGAGUUGGCAAUACCCAACGUACGUGAUCUAACCCGCAAGGGAGGAAGCGUCCUAAGGUAGGGUCAGCGAUUGGGGUGAAGUCGUAACAAGGUAUC
rnacentral:rRNA from 1 species